AUGCUUACUUUGGCAGCACAUAUAAUAACAUUGGGAUGAUACAGAGAUUAGGAUGACCCCUAUUUCUAGAUGACAUGGAAAGUUGUGAAGUGUUCCAUAUCUUU